rnacentral:lncRNA from 1 species
GUAGCUGAGACCACAAACGAGCGCCACCAUGCCCAGGGGCACAUACCGAAAUAUUUGCAGAUGAGGAUGAUGUGAUUCUGGUGGGCAGCCAAUGAGUGGGGAUACAGAGGAAGCAAGUUUGACCCUGAAUUGAUAAUCACUGGAGCAGAAUGACGGGGACACAGAGGAUGACCACAAUUUCCAGUUCCUCUUUGGGCAGCUGGGCUUUGGAGAUCUCCCAGAAAGGACUCUGUUGGUUAAUUUCAU